GGCGGUUCUUGGGUAAUGGACCCUGGAAUCGGGCUCCCUCCUCUCUGGUUCUGGGUGCGUCACCUGAGAACUGCA
rfam:Myotis lucifugus cont2.512, whole genome shotgun sequence.